rnacentral:rRNA from 1 species
GCUUACGGCCACACCACCCUGAGCGCGCCCGAUCUCGUCUGAUCUCGGAAGCUAAGCAGGGUCGGGCCUGGUUAGUAAUGGAGACGCCGCAGUUG